AGUGAACGCUGGCGGUAGGCCUAACACAUGCAAGUCGAACGGCAGCACAGUAAGAGCUUGCUCUUACGGGUGGCGAGUGGCGGACGGGUGAGGAAUACAUCGGAAUCUACUUUUUCGUGGGGGAUAACGUAGGGAAACUGACGCUAAUACCGCAUACGACCUACGGGUGAAAGCAGGGGAUCUUCGGACCUUGCGCGAUUGAAUGAGCCGAUGUCGGAUUAGCUAGUUGGCGGGGUAAAGGCCCACCAAGGCGACGAUCCGUAGCUGGUCUGAGAGGAUGAUCAGCCACACUGGAACUGAGACACGGUCCAGACUCCUACGGGAGGCAGCAGUGGGGAAUAUUGGACAAUGGGCGAAAGCCUGAUCCAGCCAUACCGCGUGGGUGAAGAAGGCCUUCGGGUUGUAAAGCCCUUUUGUUGGGAAAGAAAAGCAGCAGGUUAAUACCCCGCUGUUCUGACGGUACCCAAAGAAUAAGCACCGGCUAACUUCGUG
rnacentral:rRNA from 1 species